CUUUUGUUGUAGGCUUGGAGAAGCGGGACAAACAAGUGAUUGAGGAAUCUAACAUGAGGCUUGUGUGUUGGUGCUUUCUCCUCCUAGGAAUUUUAUCACACAUUCACACAGGUAAAAGACAUUAAGAGGAGAAAGCUAUAAUAUUUUGAAGAAGCUACUGUAUCUGUAUUCCAUUUUUCGGAGAAGCAAAUUCUCCUUUAGAUUACAUUGCUAACUGGAGCUUAUAAGUUGAAGCACCUGACUCGCUAUUGUAUAUACUUUUGAAGAGCUUCCAAGAGAAGUUAGAGCUAAAAUCAAAAUGGAGAAGUUGGAAAUUCUGGCAUUCAGAAUUAAGAAGGUUAAAAGUAAUUUUACAUGUUGAUAUCUUUGUAUAAAUAUAUCAUAAUUCAUAUGCUCCUCUUUAAUGCCUUACCUAAUCAUAGCAGCAAAAUUGUACAUGCGAGUAGUCCUCCAUUCAGUAACCAUAUUUUUGGAUCUUUUUUUUUUUUGAAAAAGAAAAAAGACAGCAGAUAGGAUCCUUCAAAUAUUGUAAGGGUUUGGAUAGUCCAAUCUGCAUAUAACUUUUGUGGAGGUUGUUGGGCAAUAUGUCUCUCUUCUUUAUGUAUUUUUAUUUUUAACUUUAACAUACGAAGGGAUCAUGUCGUAGCCCUCGAACAAUGUGGCUUUUCUAAUAAUGAACAAAAGAAUGAUUAAUGGAGUUUGAAGAAGUAGAUUUCUUGAAAUUUGAUGUUACUUCAGAUUUGCUGGUGAUGACUGCAUUUUAACAGGUUAUUGGUAGGUCCAACAUACGAAUGUGUGUGUUCUCACAAGAACUACAUAGUGGAUAGUAGCAAGGAUGAUUGGAUUUGAAAGAUACUACUAUGAAGGAAAAAGCGAAGCUGAUUUUUUGUUAAGACAUAUUUAUUUUUGUUAAGACGUGUUUAUUUAUGUAUGAGAAUUUGUCAAUAUAAAUCUGCAAAA
rnacentral:lncRNA from 1 species